rnacentral:rRNA from 1 species
ACUCUAAGCGGUGGAUCACUCGGCUCAUGGGUCGAUGAAGAACGCAGCAAACUGUGCGUCAUCGUGUGAACUGCAGGACACAUGAACAUCGACAUUUUGAACGCAUAUCGCAGUCCAUGCUGUUAUGUACUUUAAUUAAUUUUAUAGUGCUGCUUGGACUACAUAUGGUUGAGGGUUGUAAGACUAUGCUAAUUAAGUUGCUUAUAAAUUUUUAUAAGCAUAUGGUAUAUUAUUGGAUAAAUAUAAUAAUUUUUAUUCAUAAUAUUAAAAAAUAAAUGAAAAACAUUAUCUCACAUUUGAAUGUGAAAAACGAAGAGAAAUAUUUUCUUUUUCAAUCAAAUAAUACUGAGAAAUGUCUAGCAUAAAAAAUUGAAAUAUUUUUCAUCUAGAAUUGUCUCUUAUUAAUGAUUCGGAAAUAGAAAAAUCUUGGUUAUGUUAUUAUUCUUCGUUGGUUCGUUAAAAAUGGAUAAAUAAAAACUUUGCAUACAAGAAUUAAUAAAAAUGUUAUAACGAAUUUAAUUAAAUGUUUUAUCAUUAUAUAUAAAGAAUUUAUGGCAAGAUAAAGUUAUAUACAACCUCAACUCAUAUGGGACUACCCCCUGAAUUUAAGCAUAUUAAUUAGGGGAGGAAAAGAAACUAACAAGGAUUUUCUUAGUAGCGGCGAGCGAAAAGAAAACAGUUCAGCACUAAGUCACUUUGUCUAUAUGGCAAAUGUGAGAUGCAGUGUAUGGAGCGUCAAUAUUCUAGUAUGAGAAAUUAACGAUUUAAGUCCUUCUUAAAUGAGGCCAUUUACCCAUAGAGGGUGCCAGGCCCGUAUAACGUUAAUGAUUACUAGAUGAUGUUUCCAAAGAGUCGUGUUGCUUGAUAGUGCAGCACUAAGUGGGUGGUAAACUCCAUCUAAAACUAAAUAUAACCAUGAGACCGAUAGUAAACAAGUACCGUGAGGGAAAGUUGAAAAGAACUCUGAAUAGAGAGUUAAACAGUACGUGAAACUGCUUAGAGGUUAAGCCCGAUGAACCUGAAUAUCCGUUAUGGAAAAUUCAUCAUUAAAAUUGUAAUAUUUAAAUAAUAUUAUGAGAAUAGUGUGCAUUUUUUCCAUAUAAGGACAUUGUAAUCUAUUAGCAUAUACCAAAUUUAUCAUAAAAUAUAACUUAUAGUUUAUUCCAAUUAAAUUGCUUGCAUUUUAACACAGAAUAAAUGUUAUUAAUUUGAUAAAGUGCUGAUAGAUUUAUAUGAUUACAGUGCGUUAAUUUUUCGGAAUUAUAUAAUGGCAUAAUUAUCAUUGAUUUUUGUGUUUAUUAUAUGCACUUGUAUGAUUAACAAUGCGAAAGAUUCAGGAUACCUUCGGGACCCGUCUUGAAACACGGACCAAGGAGUCUAACAUAUGUGCAAGUUAUUGGGAUAUAAACCUAAUAGCGUAAUUAACUUGACUAAUAAUGGGAUUAGUUUUUUAGCUAUUUAUAGCUAAUUAACACAAUCCCGGGGCGUUCUAUAUAGUUAUGUAUAAUGUAUAUUUAUAUUAUUUAUGCCUCUAACUGGAACGUACCUUGAGCAUAUAUGCUGUGACCCGAAAGAUGGUGAACUAUACUUGAUCAGGUUGAAGUCAGGGGAAACCCUGAUGGAAGACCGAAACAGUUCUGACGUGCAAAUCGAUUGUCAGAAUUGAGUAUAGGGGCGAAAGACCAAUCGAACCAUCUAGUAGCUGGUUCCUUCCGAAGUUUCCCUCAGGAUAGCUGGUGCAUUUUAAUAUUAUAUAAAAUAAUCUUAUCUGGUAAAGCGAAUGAUUAGAGGCCUUAGGGUCGAAACGAUCUUAACCUAUUCUCAAACUUUAAAUGGGUAAGAACCUUAACUUUCUUGAUAUGAAGUUCAAGGUUAUGAUAUAAUGUGCCCAGUGGGCCACUUUUGGUAAGCAGAACUGGCGCUGUGGGAUGAACCAAACGUAAUGUUACGGUGCCCAAAUUAACAACUCAUGCAGAUACCAUGAAAGGCGUUGGUUGCUUAAAACAGCAGGACGGUGAUCAUGGAAGUCGAAAUCCGCUAAGGAGUGUGUAACAACUCACCUGCCGAAGCAACUAGCCCUUAAAAUGGAUGGCGCUUAAGUUGUAUACCUAUACAUUACCGCUAAAGUAGAUGAUUUAUAUUACUUGUGAUAUAAAUUUUGAAACUUUAGUGAGUAGGAAGGUACAAUGGUAUGCGUAGAAGUGUUUGGCGUAAGCCUGCAUGGAGCUGCCAUUGGUACAGAUCUUGGUGGUAGUAGCAAAUAAUCGAAUGAGACCUUGGAGGACUGAAGUGGAGAAGGGUUUCGUGUGAACAGUGGUUGAUCACGAGUUAGUCGGUCCUAAGUUCAAGGCGAAAGCCGAAAAUUUUCAAGUAAAACAAAAAUGCCUAACUAUAUAAACAAAGCGAAUUAUAAUACACUUGAAUAAUUUUGAACGAAAGGGAAUACGGUUCCAAUUCCGUAACCUGUUGAGUAUCCGUUUGUUAUUAAAUAUGGGCCUCGUGCUCAUCCUGGCAACAGGAACGACCAUAAAGAAGCCGUCGAGAGAUAUCGGAAGAGUUUUCUUUUCUGUUUUAUAGCCGUACUACCAUGGAAGUCUUUCGCAGAGAGAUAUGGUAGAUGGGCUAGAAGAGCAUGACAUAUACUGUUGUGUCGAUAUUUUCUCCUCGGACCUUGAAAAUUUAUGGUGGGGACACGCAAACUUCUCAACAGGCCGUACCAAUAUCCGCAGCUGGUCUCCAAGGUGAAGAGUCUCUAGUCGAUAGAAUAAUGUAGGUAAGGGAAGUCGGCAAAUUAGAUCCGUAACUUCGGGAUAAGGAUUGGCUCUGAAGAUUGAGAUAGUCGGGCUUGAUUGGGAAACAAUAACAUGGUUUAUGUGCUCGUUCUGGGUAAAUAGAGUUUCUAGCAUUUAUGUUAGUUACUUGUUCCCCGGAUAGUUUAGUUACGUAGCCAAUUGUGGAACUUUCUUGCUAAAAUUUUUAAGAAUACUAUUUGGGUUAAACCAAUUAGUUCUUAUUAAUUAUAACGAUUAUCAAUUAACAAUCAAUUCAGAACUGGCACGGACUUGGGGAAUCCGACUGUCUAAUUAAAACAAAGCAUUGUGAUGGCCCUAGCGGGUGUUGACACAAUGUGAUUUCUGCCCAGUGCUCUGAAUGUCAAAGUGAAGAAAUUCAAGUAAGCGCGGGUCAACGGCACAGAGCUUCUACGUAGGCUCGAGUGAGAUUCCAUCACUGAAGCGCACGGACGAGUGGAAGUACUUAGGCAUCAACUUCACUGCAACCGGGAGGGUUCGAUGCAAUCCGGCCGAGGACAUUGGUCCAAAGCUACAAAGAUUGACAAAGGCCCCCCUCAAACCACAACAGAGGUUGUUCGCCCUUCGGACUGUCCUUAUCCCACAGCUCUACCACAAGUUAGCCCUUGGGAGUGUGGCGAUAGGCGUCCUAAGAAAAACUGAUAAACUUAUAAGAUAUUAUGUGCGAAGAUGGCUAAAUCUUCCGCUGGAUGUGCCGAUAGCAUUUGUUCAUGCACCCCCAAAAAGUGGAGGUCUCGGAAUUCCAUCACUAAGAUGGGUAGCUCCAAUAUUAAGGCUAAGACGCUUGAGUAACAUUAAAUGGCCUCACCUCACGCAAAACGAGGUAGCCAGCUCUUUCCUCGAAGCCGAAAAACAACGGGCCCGAGAUAGAUUAUUAGCUGAACAAAAUGAACUGUUAUCGCGUCCGGCAAUAGAAAAAUAUUGGGCGAACAAGUUGU